CGGCGGACGGGUGAGUAACACGUGGAUAACCUACCUAUAAGACUGGGAUAACUUCGGGAAACCGGAGCUAAUACCGGAUAAUAUAUUGAACCGCAUGGUUCAAUAGUGAAAGACGGUUUUGCUGUCACUUAUAGAUGGAUCCGCGCCGCAUUAGCUAGUUGGUAAGGUAACGGCUUACCAAGGCAACGAUGCGUAGCCGACCUGAGAGGGUGAUCGGCCACACUGGAACUGAGUCACGGUCCAG
rnacentral:rRNA from 1 species